AACGAACGCUGGCGGCAUGCCUAACACAUGCAAGUCGAACGAGACCUUCGGGUCUAGUGGCGCACGGGUGCGUAACGCGUGGGAACCUGCCCUUAGGUUCGGAAUAACUCCCCGAAAGGGGUGCUAAUACCGGAUAAUGUCUUCGGACCAAAGAUUUAUCGCCUUUGGAUGGGCCCGCGUUGGAUUAGCUAGUUGGUAGGGUAAAAGCCUACCAAGGCGACGAUCCAUAGCUGGUCUGAGAGGAUGAUCAGCCACACUGGGACUGAGACACGGCCCAGACUCUUACGGGAGGCAGCGGGGGGGAAUAUUGGACAAGGGGCGAAAGCUUGAUCCACCAAUGCCGCGUGAGUGAUGAAGGCCUUAGGGUUGUAAAGCUCUUUUACCCGGGAUGAUAAUGACAUUGCCGGGAGAAUAAGCUCCGGCUAACUCCAUG
rnacentral:rRNA from 1 species